rnacentral:rRNA from 1 species
GGUUGACCACGGAUCCGGUCCGGAU